rnacentral:rRNA from 1 species
UGCCAGCAGCCGCGGUAAUACUGAAGGUGCGAGCGUUAAUCGGAAUUACUGGGCGUAAAGCGCGCGUAGGCGGCUUGCCGAGUCAGGGGUGAAAUCCCGGGGCUCAACCCCGGAACUGCCCUUGAAACUAGCAGGCUAGAAUCUUGGAGAGGUCAGUGGAAUUCCGAGUGUAGAGGUGAAAUUCGUAGAUAUUCGGAAGAACACCAGUGGCGAAGGCGACUGACUGGACAAGUAUUGACGCUGAGGUGCGAAAGCGUGGGGAGCAAACAGGAUUAGAUA